rnacentral:rRNA from 1 species
AGUGAACGCUGGCGGUAGGCCUAACACAUGCAAGUCGAACGGCAGCACAGUAAGAGCUUGCUCUUACGGGUGGCGAGUGGCGGACGGGUGAGGAGUACAUCGGAAUCUACUUUUUCGUGGGGGAUAACGUAGGGAAACUUACGCUAAUACCGCAUACGACCUACGGGUGAAAGCAGGGGAUCUUCGGACCUUGCGCGAUUGAAUGAGCCGAUGUCGGAUUAGCUAGUUGGCGGGGUAAAGGCCGACCAAGGCGACGAUCCGUAGCUGGUCUGAGAGGAUGAUCAGCCACACUGGAACUGAGACACGGUCCAGACUCCUACGGGAGGCAGCAGUGGGGAAUAUUGGACAAUGGGCGCAAGCCUGAUCCAGCCAUACCGCGUGGGUGAAGAAGGCCUUCGGGUUGUAAAGCCCUUUUGUUGGGAAAGAAAAGCAGCAGGUUAAUACCCCGCUGUUCUGACGGUACCCAAAGAAUAAGCACCGGCUAACUUCGUG